UCAGUUCAAAACUGAGGAAAAGCUCUCAGUAAACAUAAAUAGGAAGCGCUGCUGGAACCAAGAUCAUUGUGAAACAGACCUCACUAGCAAUUUGUGCGUUAUGGAUGACAAAGACGAAGAUACAGGUUUAUCCGAUAGUGGGCUUUCAUGACCAGGAAAUCUGCAAUGCCUCAAAAGGAGCGAUUCAGAAUCACCUGCUAAAAUAUUCUGCUGUGAGCCGCAUCCUGCAGCAGCACUACGAAGGUGAUGUGACAUAGAAGACAUCCUGUACAGUCAGACUACAGGAAGCUGGAGAUGAGGAUUGGGGGAUUGUGGAGGACUGGGCCAUACAGUCCCCUGCUGCUCUUUCUGCUCCACUCGCUGCUGCCUCUUAUACGGCCCAGUAAUGCUGGAAACCAGAAUAUACCACGACUGCAGCUCUCUCAUACAGAACUGAGGUCGAGGACCAGCUCUGCUGUGUUCUGGGAUGGUGGAGAGGGGGGAGCGUACCAGGCCUUACUGCUUGAUGAGGACCGCGGAUGGCUGCUGGUCGGAGGCCGAGACCACAUCUACAUGCUAAACUCUGACAGCUUCACCCAACCGGCACGCAAGGUCAGCGCGCACAACUACCACCAUCUGACAGCGCAUGAUGUCACUUACCGAUCACGAGGAUAAGGGUCACUAAAGUGAAAACAGGCCAUGACUACAAUGUUUUACUGUUCACAAGAAUCUGUAGAUCUGUAAUGCUGUUUUCAUGGCCUCUCUGAAGUUACAGGAUUGCAGUCUUAAAACUGCUCCACCACACACAGUA